rnacentral:rRNA from 1 species
CAGCCGCCGCGGGAAUACGUAGGUGGCAAGCGUUGUCCGGAAUUAUUGGGCGUAAGGGGCUCGCAGGCGGUUUCUUAAGUCUGAUGUGAAAGCCCCCGGCUCAACCGGGGAGGGUCAUUGGAAACUGGGAAACUUGAGUGCAGAAGAGGAGAGUGGAAUUCCACGUGUAGCGGUGAAAUGCGUAGAGAUGUGGAGGAACACCAGUGGCGAAGGCGACUCUCUGGUCUGUAACUGACGCUGAGGAGCGAAAGCGUGGGGAGCGAACAGGAUUAGAUACCCCUGUAGUCCCUGUCUCUUAUAC